GGCCCCGUAGCUCAGCCGGAUAGAGCAGGGCUUUCCUAAAGCCAAGGUCGGGGGUUCGAGUCCCUCCGGGGCCGCCA
rnacentral:tRNA from 1 species